rnacentral:rRNA from 1 species
UACGAAGGGGGCCAGCGUUGUUCGGAAUUACUGGGCGUAAAGCGCGCGCAGGCGGUUCUUUAAGUCAGGGGUGAAAGCCCAGAGCUCAACUCUGGAAUUGCCUUUGAAACUAGAGAACUUGGGUACGGGAGAGGUGAGUGGAAUUCCGAGUGUAGAGGUGAAAUUCGUAGAUAUUCGGAAGAACACCAGUGGCGAAGGCGGCUCACUGGCCCGUUACCGACGCUCAGGCGCGACAGCGUGGGGAGCAAACAGG